UCUGUUAUGAAAGUUUAGUGUGCAGAACUGACUUUAGAGGGAGGGGAGUCAAAGCAAGUGGAUAAACAUAGCUAAUGGAUAAGAUAUUUUGUGGAUAAUUAAGCAUGUGUUUUAUUUGAAAUACUUGGUGACUAAGUAAAAGGGGUUAAAUAAAACAUCUCCUUUCUCUUUCAUCCCUCAUAGCAGACGUCCCUUUCCUCUCUCUUCUCUGUCAACUUUUCU
rnacentral:lncRNA from 1 species